UACGUAGGGGGCUAGCGUUGUCCGGAAUCAUUGGGCGUAAAGCGCGUGUAGGCGGUCCGGUAAGUCCGCUGUGAAAGUCGGGGGCUCAACCCCGUCGGAUGCCGGUGGAUACUGUCGGGCUUGAGUACGGAAGAGGCGAGUGGAAUUCCUGGUGUAGCGGUGAAAUGCGCAGAUAUCAGGAGGAACACCCAUGGCGAAGGCAGCUCACUGGCCAUUAUCUGACGCUGAGAAGCGAAAGCAUGGGGAGCGAACAGG
rnacentral:rRNA from 1 species